GAGAUCGUACUUCUAGGGAUCAGUCCUAUAGUACGUAUCACCAGGACGUCAAACAAACUUGACCCUGGCCAACCAACCGCGAUGAUGAUCAGUGCGGCCUAUUCCUGAGCGUGAAGCGGGUGUGUGGCUGUCCGUCUGGCUGGCUUCUCACGAAGUCUGUUCGUGCGGACUCGGCAGUAGA
rnacentral:snoRNA from 1 species